GACGAACGCUGGCGGCGUGCUUAACACAUGCAAGUCGAACGCUGAAGCUCAGCUUUUGUUGGGUGGAUGAGUGGCGAACGGGUGAGUAACACGUGAGUAACCUGCCUCCUUCUUUGGGAUAACGCCCGGAAACGGGUGCUAAUACUGGAUAUUCACUGGUCUUCGCAUGGGGGUUGGUGGAAAGGGUUUUUCUGGUGGGGGAUGGGCUCGCGGCCUAUCAGCUUGUUGGUGGGGUGAUGGCCUACCAAGGCUUUGACGGGUAGCCGGCCUGAGAGGGUGACCGGGCACAUUGGGACAGAGAUACGGCCCAGACUCCUACGGGAGGCAGCAGUGGGGAAUAUUGCACAAUGGGCGCAAGCCUGAUGCAGCGACGCCGCGUGAGGGAUGGAGGCCUUCGGGUUGUGAACCUCUUUCGCUCAUGGUCAAGCCGCAACAAUGGUUGUGGUGAGGGUAGUGGGUAAAGAAGCGCCGGCUAACUACGUG
rnacentral:rRNA from 1 species